rnacentral:rRNA from 1 species
GGGUGACNAGUGGCGGACGGGUAUAAUNUCUGGGGAUCUGCCCGAUAGAGGGGGAUAACCACUGGAAACGGUGGCUAAUACCGCAUAACGUCGCAAGACCAAAGAGGGGGACCUUCGGGCCUCUCACUAUCGGAUGAACCCAGAUGGGAUUAGCUAGUAGGCGGGGUAAUGGCCCACCUAGGCGACGAUCCCUAGCUGGUCUGAGAGGAUGACCAGCCACACUGGAACUGAGACACGGUCCAGACUCCUACGGGAGGCAGCAGUGGGGAAUAUUGCACAAUGGGCGCAAGCCUGAUGCAGCCAUGCCGCGUGUAUGAAGAAGGCCUUCGGGUUGUAAAGUACUUUCAGCGGGGAGGAAGGCGACGGGGUUAAUAACCGCGUCGAUUGACGUUACCCGCAGAAGAAGCACCGGCUAACUCCGUGCCAGCAGCCGCGGUAAUACGGAGGGUGCAAGCGUUAAUCGGAAUUACUGGGCGUAAAGCGCACGCAGGCGGUCUGUUAAGUCAGAUGUGAAAUCCCCGGGCUUAACCUGGGAACUGCAUUUGAAACUGGCAGGCUUGAGUCUUGUAGAGGGGGGUAGAAUUCCAGGUGUAGCGGUGAAAUGCGUAGAGAUCUGGAGGAAUACCGGUGGCGAAGGCGGCCCCCUGGACAAAGACUGACGCUCAGGUGCGAAAGCGUGGGGAGCAAACAGGAUUAGAUACCCUGGUAGUCCACGCCGUAAACGAUGUCGACUUGGAGGUUGUUCCCUUGAGGAGUGGCUUCCGGAGCUAACGCGUUAAGUCGACCGCCUGGGGAGUACGGCCGCAAGGUUAAAACUCAAAUGAAUUGACGGGGGCCCGCACAAGCGGUGGAGCAUGUGGUUUAAUUCGAUGCAACGCGAAGAACCUUACCUACUCUUGACAUCCACGGAAUUUGCCAGAGAUGCCUUAGUGCCUUCGGGAACCGUGAGACAGGUGCUGCAUGGCUGUCGUCAGCUCGUGUUGUGAAAUGUUGGGUUAAGUCCCGCAACGAGCGCAACCCUUAUCCUUUGUUGCCAGCGAUUCGGUCGGGAACUCAAAGGAGACUGCCGGUGAUAAACCGGAGGAAGGUGGGGGAUGACGUCAAGUCAUCAUGGCCCUUUACGAGUAGGGCUACACACGUGCUACAAUGGCGCAUACAAAAGAGAAGCGACCUCGCGAGAGCAAGCGGACUCACAAAGUGCGUCGUAGUCCGGAUCGGAGUCUGCAACUCGACUCCGUGAAGUCGG